UUUAAGAAGAGAUUGUACAACCAUUUGUCUGAAAUAGUAUAGGGUUUCCUGCCUAAGCAGGGGGCUGGACUAGAAGACCUCCAAGGUCCCUUCCAACUCUGUUAUUCUGUUUAUCC